AGGGGCCCGUCCCAGGAGAAGCAGCAGGUGAAGAAGAGGCUGCGGAAGAGACGUGGUGGUCGCCACGUGAAAAAAAGAGCUCGCAUUUCUGAUGAGGAAUCUCGCUCUAGUGUGCCUCCACCAGGUAGAGCAGCUGCUCUUCCCCUAAGCUCCCAUGGAGCCCACGAAAUGGUGGUCAUUUUGGAGG